AAAUCUUAAAAAAAAAAACAGAAUCAUUGCUCUAGAUCCAUAAGGAACUUCUUUAGAAAAUUUCUUUAAUGCUUAUAUAGAAUGUCAACUUCAAGGGUUAUUGGAAAAGUACUAGAGUCUUCCCUUUCUUUUUUCAGGUCUUGUGGGAAUGCUCUCUUUUUUAUUUUGUUGUUGCCUUGGAAAUUGUCUUGGCAAUUUGGACCAAAAUCAGUGUUGAUAUGCUCUAAGGCAUAUGUCUUAACUACAUGGUUGGCUUUUAAAUUCUUAACUCUGUAGAGAUCUUUUUCAAAGGUGCUCAGCUAUUUCUGCUAGCUGUUGCAUUCUUAUGUGAAUUUCCAUUGGAAAAUUUUUUAAAUCUCUGUCCAGAUCCACAAAGCAUCUUUGUUCUUUGAGGGCAGGGAUUCUGUGUGUAUAGUACUAUGUGCAUGCGUCUUGAAUGAUUAAUGUGAUUUGAUAUCACAAGUGGGCCCCAUGGUAUAUUGGUCUGCACUCUGGAGUUUGAUAUUAUGGGGAUUCAUGAGAAGAUUCUGGAGAAUAGGGAAAUGAUCACUUGUCUCCUUUUAGACCUACUGGGAUGGUGAUGCUCGCCUCUUGAAGGAAGGUGUAUUCUGCUCUGAUCAUUUCCAUGAUCAUUUGUUGGUGUGGAAUGCCUUUAAAUUUUGGUCUUUAAGGUUUUUGCUGAGGAGUAUCAAUUGAUAGAUAAACCCAAGGACCAAUGAGUAUGCAGAGAAGUUUCGACUAGUUUUUAACUGCAAAAGUCUACCUGAUUCAACGUGAUAAGACCGCUCCAUUAAAACAGCUAGCCCAAUGCCAGGCGCAAAAUGAGCAUCCAAACAAGGAGUGACUGAAUGAUGCAAAACCACCUUGGCAGGUUCAUGCUGGCAAGGCGGCCUGCUGUUAUAACUGCAGGUGCGUCAGAAACCGCAGUGAGCCUGAGACCGAAGGAGCACUCUAGGAUUCCCAGCUGUAUCUGUACCCGUUCUCGGUUGGGCCGGAAAGCCAAAAGAGACACCUACAACAGCUGUUUCUGUGAGACUUGGGGGCCACGGUGUUGAAUUCAGUGGACGUGGCAAUGCAGGUAUGGUUUGUGUAUCGGCUUCCUUUUCUGCGGAGCUGGGGGCCAAGCUGAGGCAUGGGCUGGAGGUGCUAGAGCGGAAAGACUGAAGGGGGCAUUGGAAGAAGGAGAGGGGUUGUAAGGCAGCAAUCAGAAUCCUGUGUAAAAUCGGUCUCCUGGAAUUUAACUGCCUGUGUGUGAAUCUGUCUCUGCUACUUCUCUUACCAGCUGUGUGACCUUGGACAACGUCCAUAAUUCCCUGAGCCUUAGUUUUUCCAUCUGUAAACUGGAGGUCUAGUUCAUCUACUGCAGAGUAGGUCUAGAGAACCUGUUUGGAGGAGUUUUAAUGAAGUUGAAAUAAGGGUUAGCUACUAUAGUAUUGUCUGUUGACAGGCUGUGAACAGGACAGAUUGUGAGAAGGUCCCUGAGCUCAGAGACCAUGCCCAUCUUACUCACUGUUGUGUCUUCAGCACUUGGCAUGUAAACACAGGCUGUGUAGCAGAUGGUGGUUGAAUUACUAAAUGAGGGUGGCCAGGGCAAAAUUUUUUAGAGAUCUCUCAGUAUUGUGGCUUUUCCUAGAAUGUCUUUCAGACAAGGCAAUUUUGAUUGUACUUUGUGAUGCCUGGGCUCUGAGUUUUCUC